rnacentral:lncRNA from 10 species
GAGAAUUUGUGUUUGGGCUUUCUAAAGAGUGUGGUGCUCAGAGGAGAUUCGAACUCCAUUGGGCUCCCAUACCUUCCUUGGGGAGGUAGAAUCGUCUUUGGUUUCAGUAACACAGGGGGCCCCACAGCCUUGGCUGACUCAGCCCUGGCAGCUUGGGUCUGUCCAGUCCCGCAGGACCGGCCCCACCCCUCACAUCUGCUGUCCUUCAUCCUCCUGAGACCCUGGGUCUGAGCUAGGGUGGGCUCCCGCCCACCACAAGCUCCCCCACAAUCAGCCGCCCCCCAACUUCACCCACAGCCCCCUUAACUGCUGCUCCUGUCUUGCGGGAUCUGCCACCUGUGCUUGGAGGUGCCCCCACCACCUCCACGCUGGUGGGCUUUAAACCAUUUCCACGAACUCUCCACCCCUUCACUCUUAUCUCCUCACUUGUUCACAUCAAGUAUUUUCAUUUAAAAUGUAAAGACAUGGUUGCAGAAAUGUAAUUCCCCAUGUAUUAUGAACAUUGAUAUUUUAGAAACUGCCUCAUCCUUCCCAGUGU